rnacentral:rRNA from 1 species
UUAGAGUUUGAUCCUGGCUCAGGAUGAACGCUAGCGGCAGGCUUAACACAUGCAAGUCGAGGGGCAGCGAGAUCAGUGCUUGCACUGAUUGUCGGCGACCGGCGAACGGGUGCGUAACGCGUAUGCAACCUACCCAUUACAGGGGGAUAACACUGAGAAAUCGGUACUAAUACCCCAUAACAUCCAGGGAGGCAUCUUCUUGGGUUGAAAACUCCGGUGGUAAUGGAUGGGCAUGCGUUGUAUUAGUUAGUUGGUGGGGUAACGGCUCACCAAGACAACGAUACAUAGGGGGACUGAGAGGUUAACCCCCCACAUUGGUACUGAGACACGGACCAAACUCCUACGGGAGGCAGCAGUGAGGAAUAUUGGUCAAUGGACGCAAGUCUGAACCAGCCAUGCCGCGUGCAGGAAGACGGCUCUAUGAGUUGUGAACUGCUUUUGUACGAGGGUAAACGCAGAUACGCGUAUCUGUCUGAAAGUAUCGUACGAAUAAGGAUCGGCUAACUCCGUGCCAGCAGCCGCGGUAAUACGGAGGAUUCAAGCGUUAUCCGGAUUUAUUGGGUUUAAAGGGUGCGUAGGCGGUCGGAUAAGUUAGAGGUGAAAUCCCGGGGCUCAACUUCGGAAUUGCCUCUGAUACUGUUCGGCUAGAGAGUAGUUGCGGUAGGCGGAAUGUAUGGUGUAGCGGUGAAAUGCUUAGAGAUCAUACAGAACACCGAUUGCGAAGGCAGCUUACCAAGCUACUUCUGUCGUUGAGGCACGAAAGCGUGGGGAGCAAACAGGGUUAGAUACCCUGGUAGUCCACGCAGUAAACGAUGAUAAACUCGUUGUCGGCGAUACAGUGUCGGCGACUAAGCGAAAGCGAUAAGUUAUCCACCUGGGGAGUACGUUCGCAAGAAUGAAACUCAAAGGAAUUGACGGGGGCCCGCACAAGCGGAGGAACAUGUGGUUUAAUUCGAUGAUACGCGAGGAACCUUACCCGGGCUUGAAAGUUAGUGACGGAUCUUGAAAGAGGUCUUCCCUUCGGGGCACGAAACUAGGUGCUGCAUGGUUGUCGUCAGCUCGUGCCGUGAGGUGUCGGGUUAAGUCCCAUAACGAGCGCAACCCCUACCGUUAGUUGCCAGCAGGUCAAGCUGGGCACUCUGACGGGACUGCCGGUGUAAGCCGAGAGGAAGGUGGGGAUGACGUCAAAUCAGCACGGCCCUUACGUCCGGGGCUACACACGUGUUACAAUGGCAGGUACAGAGGGCAGCUACCCAGCGAUGGGAUGCGAAUCUCGAAAGCCUGUCUCAGUUCGGAUUGGAGGCUGAAACCCGCCUCCAUGAAGUUGGAUUCGCUAGUAAUCGCGCAUCAGCCAUGGCGCGGUGAAUACGUUCCCGGGCCUUGCACACACCGCCCGUCA